CCCUUAUUUACGGAAGGCCGAAGCAGCCACCUGGGUUCAACACUGACGCUCAUGUACGAAAGCGUGGGGAGCAAAUGGGAUUAGAUACCCCGGUAGUCCACGCCGUAAACGAUGUCUACUAGAAGCUCGGAGCCUCGGUUCUGUUUUUCAAAGCUAACGCAUUAAGUAGACCGCCUGGGGAGUACGGCCGCAAGGUUAAAACUCAAAUGAAUUGACGGGGGCCCGCACAAGCGGUGGAGCAUGUGGUUUAAUUCGAUGCAACGCGAAGAACCUUACCUACACUUGACAUACAGAGAACUUACCAGAGAUGGUUUGGUGCCUUCGGGAACUCUGAUACAGGUGCUGCAUGGCUGUCGUCAGCUCGUGUUGUGAGAUGUUGGGUUAAGUCCCGCAACGAGCGCAACCCCUAUCCUUAGUUGCUAGCAGGUAAUGCUGAGAACUCUAAGGAGACUGCCGGUGAUAAACCGGAGGAAGGUGGGGACGACGUCAAGUCAUCAUGGCCCUUACGUGUAGGGCUACACACGUGCUACAAUGGCGCAUACAGAGUGCUGCGAACUCGCGAGAGUAAAGCGAAUCACUUAAAGUGCGUCGUAGUCCGGAUUGGAGUCUGCAACUCGACUUCCAUGAAGUCGGAAUCGCUAGUAAUCGCGUAUCAGAAUGACGCGGUGAAAUACGUUCCCGGGCCUUGUACACACCGCCCGUCACACCAUGGGAGUGGGUUGCUCCAGAAGUAGAUAGUCUAACCCUCGGGAGGACGUUUACCACGGAGUGAUUUCAUGACUGGGGUGAAGUCGUAACAAGGUAACCA
rnacentral:rRNA from 1 species